rnacentral:rRNA from 1 species
AUUGAACGCUGGCGGCAUGCCUUACACAUGCAAGUCGAACGGUAACAGGUCUUCGGAUGCUGACGAGUGGCGAACGGGUGAGUAAUACAUCGGAACGUGCCUGGUAGUGGGGGAUAACUACUCGAAAGAGUGGCUAAUACCGCAUGAGAUCUACGGAUGAAAGCAGGGGAUCGCAAGACAUUGUGCUACUAGCGCGGCCGAUGGCAUAUAAGGUAGAUAGUGGGAUAAAAGCUUACCAAGCCGACGAUCUGUAGCUGGUCUGAGAGGACGAUCAGCAACACUGGGACUGAGACACGGCCCAGACUCCUACGGGAGGCAGCAGUGGGGAAUUUUGGACAAUGGGCGCAAGCCUGAUCCAGCAAUGCCGCGUGCAGGAUGAAGGCCUUCGGGUUGUAAACUGCUUUUGUACGGAACGAAAAGCCCUGGGUUAAUACCCUGGGGUCAUGACGGUACCGUAAGAAUAAGCACCGGCUAACUACGUGCCAGCCGCCGCAGUAAGAC